GAUGAACGCUAGCUACAGGCUUAACACAUGCAAGUCGCAGGGUAACAUGAGGAAAGCUUGCUUUCCUUGAUGACGACUGGCGCACGGGUGAGUAACGCGUAUCCAACCUUCCCAUAACUACGGGAUAACCCGUUGAAAGACGGCCUAAUACCGUAUGAUAUCGUUUGCUGACAUCAAAUAACGAUUAAAGGUUUAGCGGUUAUGGAUGGGGAUGCGUCUGAUUAGCUUGUUGGCGGGGUAACGGCCCACCAAGGCGACGAUCAGUAGGGGUUCUGAGAGGAAGGACCCCCACAUUGGAACUGAGACACGGUCCAAACUCCUACGGGAGGCAGCAGUGAGGAAUAUUGGUCAAUGGGCGAGAGCCUGAAACAGCCAAGUAGCGUGCAGGACGACGGCCCUAUGGGUUGUAAACUGCUUUUAUGUGGGGAUAAAGUGCGUGACGUGUCAUGCAUUGCAGGUACCACAUGAAUAAGGACCGGCUAAUUCCGU
rnacentral:rRNA from 1 species